GGGAAGGGAACCGCUUAUAAAAAAAAAAAAAAAAAGCCUUUGGGAGUUUGUAGCCCCGGCUUUUGUGAAUUGUCCCUCCCACUACCCCAUCCCCGGGAGCCCCCUUCAGAGUGAGUUAAACACCCCUCCCCCUCUGUGUAAUGAACGCCCUUUGCCACCCUGUGAGCGGAGGAGGCUGAUCUUGCUUCUGGCAACCCGCCUGCUCAGCGCUAGAAUUGGGCCUGUCCUUCACUGGCGGGUGCACAAAGGCCCGUGCCAGGCAGGAACCUCAGCCCCUGCUUUUCCAGUUCAUGAAAACUGAAAACUCCCGGAUGCUGCGGACUCUCCUUGUCAGGUCUGCACAAGUGGUGCCUUGAUAGCUCUGUGCUGCUGUGGGUUGAGGACAAAGGAAACUGCAGCCUUUGGGAAGGAAGCCUCGGGCUCCUAAGUGUGCAGAGGACACUCUAUGCCUCCUUGGAGCCUCUGGAGAUGAGCUGAAAAGGGCAGAGGAGGGACCCUGCCGGGUGAAGGAGACUCCAGACCAGCUGUGUUCACCUCCUCCUUCAGUCUGGGGAUGCGAAUUAUCUGGCUUGCAAGCUGGGAGUCCAAGGGAGACAGAUGAGGAUGCAGUGAAGUGGAAGUUGAAAGCCUUGGAUUUGGUCUCAGCCCUGACACUGCAGAGGCCAUUGUGUCCCUUGCCUGGGCCCUGGAUUGCUCAGCUGCAAAACAACAGACUGAGAGAUGAAAACAAAUGUCUGCAGAGGAACAGGAAGGGUGGAAAGUCCCCGAGGCUGGUCCAGGAGAGAAACACACACAAACACAGGAAUAACUGUCGUAUUCCCAAGCAGGCCAGAGCAAGAAUGGCUUUGUGGAGGGUGGCUGAGGCCAGCUGUGCUGCUGGUGGAUCAACGUCAUGGUGCUGAAGCUUAGAAAGCAGAAUCCAUGGCGUUCCCACUCCAAGCCCCUCACUCUGCAGAUGAGGAAACUGAGCCUCCCCAAAGCCCACACCAAGUUCAACUAUUAAUGUGCAAGAGACCAUUCUCUGUGUACCAGUGUCUGUCUGGGUCCCAGUGCAGAGCACAGUUCACCCCCUCUAACACUGGCUGUUAUUGACCAGACGGACUCAAAGUCCAAUGUCAUGGUGGGGAGUUAAGUGGUCACAUGUGCCUGGAGAGAACCGUGGUCUAGAUUCUCUUUUCUGGACUGUGGUUCGGGCUCUAACCUAGAGAGCAGACAUGAUGGUCUGGACUUCUUCCAAUCUAGUGACCACCAAGUAGGGGGGAAGACCACUGUGGGGGGUCCAGUUCCUUGAGGUAGAGAGAGUCCCGCUAACCUCAGAGUCUUGAGGUGGUUGGCUUUGGCAGAAGCACGGUGUUCAUCCAGCCCUUGACCAAGCGUUACUGAACCUUAAUCUCGGCCUAGAGGGGACUUGGGAGUCUGUGUACCCUAAGGUGAGAAAGCAUCUAUGGGUGAGCCAAUGACAGCUGGGUAGGGGGAGAGGGCCUGUCCCAAAGCCCAUGUCCAGAGAUGAGAGCCUAGCUUGUGGGACUCCGUCUCAGGCAGGUGGGAUACCCACAAGGCCUUGUUGGUACCAGGUGCUUAGUAGUUCACUUUGAUUCCUCUGAGGAUAGAGACACAAACCAGGAGAUAGUGCUUCAUGAAGUGGCCAGCAGUGGGUGACCUGACGCUUGGUCUAAGUGAUGCUUGCUCUUCUAUUGGGCUUAUUUAGGAGAGAAACUGCAAAGAGAGCUAAUGAGAAAAAACAAACAAACAAACAAACCAACAACAACAAAAGAAAAAAACCCACAGAGGACCGAGAGAGCCUCCAUUUGGUAGAAAAGUAAACCAAGAGGAGUCCAGAGAAAGGAAAGGGAGAAGGGGAG
ensembl:lncRNA